rnacentral:ncRNA from 1 species
AAAUUUGCAGUAGUUAAAAAGCUGAUAGCUGAUUACAAGUCAUACAGUCGCAUACCGUUGUUAGUUCACAGUUUUGGUUACAAUCAGGACCAGUGGUUAGUUUGUUGUAAUGAUUGUGUAGUCUUUCAAACAAGUUUGUGUUAAACGGGUGCUAAUCAAUUGAUGAACUUGUCUUGCUAACACGUCGGUAUGUUUCUGAAUGCCUUUCCAUGACGUGUCGGGAGUGGAUAGUAUCUAUAGUUUGAAUAGGUUUGAGUGCUUAAAGUAGGCCUAUGAACCUAAAAUUCUUUCAUAGGAUAAUGAAAUAAAACUUUGAAUUUACUUUGUUGAAUUUUGGAUUCGAAGUAAUCGUUAAGAAGUAUAGACGGGGUAUUAUAUGUUCGUGUUGGAGGUGAAAUUCUGAGAUUAUCCCCAAACAAGCUAAGAAUGUUGCUAAGAAUGUUCUCAUUGAUCAGGGGCGAAAUUCGGAGUUUCGAAGGCGGUCAGAUAUCGUUCUAAUUAUGACCAUAAUUGAUAUCAACCGGGGAUCCGGAUUGGUUCUAUAGUUGGAAUGACGCACAGUUCCCAGGAAACCUUUAAGUUUCUGGGCUCCG